AUAGGCACACAUUAGACUAUUCACUCCAGUGAUGACAAAAAAGGUGGCAGGUUGAGCACAUGUAAGAUUUAGUUAAGAUAUGAGUUUUAAGGUUUUUAUCACCAGUGUCCCCUCAGACAGUAACAAUUUUUCUGUGAUGUGGUCUCUCCCAGAUCAAACUUUCCAGAUGUCUGUGCAAAACUGUAUGUAACCAUCCAGCCAGAGAGCUCUUCUUUUCUGUGACAUAAGUUUGCCUUUCAGGCGUGUCACAAUCACUUAACCAUCACUCACACCCACUUUGCAUGGACACCUAUAUCAAAUUGAUUGUUGUUUACAAGGCCUUGGAACUAGACUAGUUCCUCAUGGCCCUUACUUCACUGUUAUGUAUCACACAAUGACAAGACAGCUCUUCCUGUUUAUAGGAUGUAGCUUGGGCAGGAAUAAUCUAUGCAAUGAUCCAACGCUGGAAGCUCCCAGUUUGAGGAAAUGGUCUCACGAGAAAUAUGGAGCCUCCAGGGUCCAGUGGCUGGUGUCAGGCUCCUCGUCCCUGGAACUAACUUACACUUGCUGAGAAGCUCUCUGCUAAGCUACUGAAGAGAACCUCCAAGAGCAUUGGGGAAUCUCAUCAGAGGACAAUUGGAAAAUUUUAAAAUGCACAGGAUACUAAAUAAAAUGGUUGAAUUACUGUAA
rnacentral:lncRNA from 1 species